CUUAACUCUGGAACUGCCAUCAAAACUUUUUAGCUAGAGUAUGAUAGAGGAAAGCAGAAUUUCUAGUGUAGAGGUGAAAUUCGUAGAUAUUAGAAAGAAUACCAAUUGCGAAGGCAGCUUUCUGGAUCAUUACUGACGCUGAGGAACGAAAGCAUGGGUAGCGAAGAGGAUUAGAUACCCUCGUAGUCCAUGCCGUAAACGAUGUGUGUUAGACGUUGGAAAUUUAUUUUCAGUGUCGCAGCGAAAGCAUUAAACACACCGCCUGGGGAGUACGACCGCAAGGUUAAAACUCAAAUGAAUUGACGGGGACCCGCACAAGUAGUGGAGCAUGUGGUUUAAUUCGAAGAUACGCGCAGAACCUUACCAACACUUGACAUGUUCGUCGCGACUUUAAGAGAUUAAAGUUUUCGGUUCGGCCGGACGAAACACAGGUGCUGCAUGGCUGUCGUCAGCUCGUGCCGUGAGAUGUUGGGUUAAGUCCCGCAACGAGCGCAACCCUCACUUUUAGUUGCCAUCAUUAAGUUGGGCACUCUGAAAGAACUGCCAGUGAUAAGCUGGAGGAAGGUGGGGAUGACGUCAAGUCCUCAUGGCCCUUACGUGUUGGGCUACACACGUGCUACAAUGGCAUUUACAAUAGGAAGCAAGAUGGCGACGUCAAGCAAAUCCUAAAAAGAUGCCUCAGUUCGGAUUGUACUCUGCAACUCGAGUACAUGAAGCUGGAAUUACUAGUAAUCGCGGAUCAGCGCGCCGCGGUGAAUACGUUCCCGGGUCUUGUACACACCGCCCGUCACACCAUGGGAGUUGGUUCUACCUUAAGGCAAGGUUUUAAACCCUUGACCACGGUAUAGUCAGCGACUGGGGUGAAGUCGUAACAAGGUAACCGUA
rnacentral:rRNA from 1 species